AGAGUUUGAUGGUGGCUCAGAUUGAACGCUGGCGGCAUGCUUUACACAUGCAAGUCGGACGGCAGCACAGAGAAGCUUGCUUCUUGGGUGGCGAGUGGCGAACGGGUGAGUAAUAUAUCGGAACGUACCGAGUAAUGGGGGAUAACUAAUCGAAAGAUUAGCUAAUACCGCAUAUUCUCUGAGGAGGAAAGCAGGGGACCUUCGGGCCUUGCGUUAUUCGAGCGGCCGAUAUCUGAUUAGCUAGUUGGUGGGGUAAAGGCCUACCAAGGCGACGAUCAGUAGCGGGUCUGAGAGGAUGAUCCGCCACACUGGGACUGAGACACGACCCAGACUCCUACGGGAGGCAGCAGUGGGGAAUUUUGGACAAUGGGCGCAAGCCUGAUCCAGCCAUGCCGCGUGUCUGAAGAAGGCCUUCGGGUUGUAAAGGACUUUUGUCAGGGAAGAAAAGGCUGUCGCUAAUACCGACAGUUGAUGACGGUACCUGGAGAAUAAGCACCGGCUAACUACGUGCCAGCAGCCGCGGUAAUACGUAGGGUGCGAGCGUUAAUCGGAAUUACUGGGCGUAAAGCGAGCGCAGACGGUUACUUAAGCAGGAUGUGAAAUUCCCGGGCUCAACCUGGGAACUGCGUUCUGAACUGGGUGACUAGAGUGUGUCAGAGGGAGGUAGAAUUCCACGUGUAGCAGUGAAAUGCGUAGAGAUGUGGAGGAAUACCGAUGGCGAAGGCAGCCUCCUGGGAUAACACUGACGUUCAUGCUCGAAAGCGUGGGUAGCAAACAGGAUUAGAUACCCUGGUAGUCCACGCCCUAAACGAUGUCAAUUAGCUGUUGGGCAACUUGAUUGCUUAGUAGCGUAGCUAACGCGUGAAAUGACCGCCU
rnacentral:rRNA from 1 species